AUGCGGCUUAGUUAGGGGGCAAACAUCAACAGGAACCAAAUUAACUUUUGGUAUCCUUUGAGAAAGACCUUUUGAAGGGACUCUUCAAUCUAAUAUUUAUUGUCCCUCAAACAGUCAUUCACAUUU